AGCGAAGCGAGAGAACGUUGCCGCAGGCAACGGCCCGAAGGGCGAGGCGCUUUGGCGCCGAGUAAUCCUUCCCCCACCACCA
rnacentral:sRNA from 1 species